rnacentral:lncRNA from 1 species
AGUCACCAACCCUCUACUUGGUCCUUUGCAAUCCUUUCCAGACCUUCUGUGGUCUCCUGUCACACAGGGCUCACCUGGGGGGACCCUGAUGGCCAGAUUCUCUUGAACAGUCUCUAGGGACAUAUUGGGUAUUGCUAUACCUUCAUCCAUUGAACAGUUUUCCAGUGGCUCCAUAAUAUGUGAUAUCACAACAGAUUGAAUGCAGAAACAGAACAAAUGAAGCAUCCAUUAACUUCGAAUGAUCAGAUGCUAGGGUGUGAGGAAUUUUCAGGCCAAAAUGCACUGGGUUAUUGUCUCCUAUUGACAGUGUGAUAUUACAGAUAACCUCUAGGAGAUCCUGAACAUAUUCAGGCUAAACCAGGCAAACAAACAUUCAGGAUGUUACCAGUGUGGAAAACCCCUAGGAGAGACAGCCAAAAUUAAGACUGAUGGAGAAAUUUCCCCCAGCAAUACCACUUAAAAAUAUGUAUUUUUUACUUUAAUUGCCUGGUAUUAAGUUUUCUGCAGGAAUACAAAUAAAAUUGCUUGUAUGGCUUUGAGAAACUACAGUU